rnacentral:rRNA from 1 species
AGAGUUUGAUCCUGGCUCAGAACGAACGCUGGCGGCGUGCCUAACACAUGCAAGUCGAACGGAGUUAUAGGUGUAGCAAUACAUUUAUAGCAUUAGUGGCGGACGGGUGAGUAACACGUAGGUAACCUACCCUUAGGCGGGGGACAACUCAGGGAAACUUGAGCUAAUACCGCAUAAAUCCACGGGCUGGGAUGCUUGUGGGAAAAGUGGCAACACACCUAAGGAUGGGCCUGCGGCCUAUCAGGUAGUUGGUGGGGUAAGAGCCCACCAAGCCGAAGACGGGUAGCCGGGCUGAGAGGUUGGACGGCCACACUGGAACUGAGACACGGUCCAGACUCCUACGGGAGGCAGCAGUGGGGAAUCUUGCGCAAUGGGGGAAACCCUGACGCAGCGACGCCGCGUGGAGGAUGAAGGUCUUCGGGUUGUAAACUCCUUUUCUUGGGGAAAAUGAUGAUGGUACUCAAGGAAUAAGCCACGGCUAACUCUGUGCCAGCAGCCGCGGUAAGACAGAGGUGGCGAGCGUUGUUCGGAAUUACUGGGCUUAAAGGGCGAGUAGGCGGUAGAGCAAGUCUGAGGUGGAAUCCUAUGGCUUAACCAUAGAACUGCCUUAGAAACUGCUUUACUUGAGUCAGUGAGGGGAGGGCGGAAUUCCUGGUGUAGCGGUGAAAUGCGUAGAUAUCAGGAGGAAGGCCUGUGGCGAAAGCGGCCCUCUGGCACUGUACUGACGCUGAGGCGCGAAAGCGUGGGGAGCAAACAGGAUUAGAUACCCUGGUAGUCCACGCUCUAAACGGUGGGCAUUAGGUGUAGGGCUCGAAGGGUUCUGUGCCGAAGGGAAACCAUUAAAUGCCCCGCCUGGGGAGUACAGCCGCAAGGUUGAAACUCAAAGGAAUUGACGG